GACGAACGCUGGCGGCGUGCUUAACACAUGCAAGUCGAACGGAAAGGCCCUGCUUUUGUGGGGUGCUCGAGUGGCGAACGGGUGAGUAACACGUGAGUAACCUGCCCUUGACUUUGGGAUAACUUCAGGAAACUGGGGCUAAUACCGGAUAGGAGCUCCUGCUGCAGGGGGGGGGUUGGAAAGUUUCGGCGGUUGGGGAUGGACUCGCGGCUUAUCAGCUUGUUGGUGGGGUAGUGGCUUACCAAGGCUUUGACGGGUAGCCGGCCUGAGAGGGUGACCGGCCACAUUGGGACUGAGAUACGGCCCAGACUCCUACGGGAGGCAGCAGUGGGGAAUAUUGCCCAAUGGGCGGAAGCCUGAUGCAGCAACGCCGCGUGCGGGAUGACGGCCUUCGGGUUGUAAACCGCUUUCGCCUGUGACGAAGCGUGAGUGACGGUAAUGGGUAAAGAAGCACCGGCUAACUACGUG
rnacentral:rRNA from 1 species